AUUAGCAGUCUCUAUCAUCUUUUUCUCCAAAUGAACUUCUCUAUCAGCUUUCUCUAACAACCUUAGCUCACUGACUCACCCUAUCCUCACCCCGACAGUCUAAUCCCAACCCUAACCUCUGCUUCACACCCAACAACGACAGUGGCCCUCGAGAGGUGCCCAAGUGGGAUUCAGUAGUAGGUGUUUUGAAAGCAUCUGCUACUGUACAUACCUUGUUUGGGAAAAUGCCUCAAACAAUGAUUGUUUGUCAAGAUUUGUGGUUUAUUUUAGAAUCUCAUGUUUAUAUUGUUUUAUUGAUUUAGGUGUUAAGAGAAGCUGAAAUGUCGAUUGAGUGGAAAGCACAUUAUGCUGGAACCAUAAUUGAUCUGGAAAAAUAGAAAUUUUAUUGUCUUUUUCUCAAGGUUUGCCUUUUUUUUUGUUCCUUUCUUUUUUGUAAUCAAGGGGUCAAUGAAUUAAAAAAUGGUUAUAUUGUCUGUUAUGUCUAUUUUGUAUUUGCAAGAACUAUAUUUCCAGUUAUGUAUCUACAGGGGCAUUUGUAAGUGGUUUCUUGCUGUAAAAUUGGGACAAUUUAUUUGUCUUCUUUUCCAAAUUUAUUCAUACUUACUCAAACCAUGCAUAUGUACUAACACAAUGAAACUAACUGGCUUUUUCAUUUGGAUGGCUAUGAAUGAAACUCUAAUUUUCUCACAUUAUGUAUAUAAUAGUGAUAAAAGACUAAAUAUUUUAUUCUCGUAUGUAUGAAAAAAAGCUUGAUGAAAUACUCACAUGAGUUUAGAAUUUUAUUGUAUUGAUUUUAGUUGGCUUAAUUUCCAAUUUUUAAUGUUAAAAAAAUCAUUGUACAACAAAGGGGCUGCAAGAGGUGAGGAUUAUUUUUAUUACUAUUUAAUUUUGGAUUAUUUUUUCAUGGAAAACUAUUUGUUUUUAUCCUAUCAUAGAUGCGAGUUCUUUUUUCAACUAAAAAAAGCAAAGCAUGAGAUAAAUUAGAAAUAAUUAAUGCUUAUUUAGUUUUAUGGUUUUGAGCUAGUUUCUCAUUUUCUCUACCGUGGCAGAGUCAAGUCUUACAGACUGAGUUCUUAUAUUGAAUUUAGGACCAAUCCCGAAAGUACAACCACAUACCUAUUUUUAGAAGGAUUUUUAUGCUUAUGAAUCUUUUCUUUUUUAUUACAGGAGCUGGAAAACUCGAACACUAUAACUUCCAUUGGUGAUCUGAACAAUGCUCUUAAAGAAACAGUCAUGUAUAGCCUUACAAUGAGUAGUAUAAUCUUUUCGAUAAACAAGCUGAAGCUAUAUUAGACAUAAAUCUAAGAAGACUUACACUUCUUGAGAUGAAAAAGUUUAUCAAUGAAAGUGAAUCUUUGAGGGAGCAAAUUUCAAAAUUAGAGGAACUUUUGUGAAGCAAGUAGAAUAUGUUAGAGGUAUAUAUUUACUAUUCAAGCGAUAAAUAAAUUUUGCCGCACUAAUUAGUUUUGUUUUUUAACUUUGCAGGCAUAUCAUGAAGUAUUAUCUUUCGAAAUUAUUUGGAUUAUUUGGUGAUAGUUUUUAGUGUAGUUCACUUUUAAGGUAUAUAGGAACUUGUUCAUCUGCUAAACAAGACAUAUACAUCGAACUAGAAGCAUCAAAGUAGGGGCAUAUAUGCUUUUUUUUUAUUUUAGAACCAACUCUGUUCUGUAUUAAUUUACUGAUUUUUCAGGUGAGAUUUUAUAGUACUAUUAUAUUACGUUUAACUUCUCUCACUGCUGUAGAUCUCUCUCUGUUGCAAGAUAAUGAAGAGAGGAACUUUCAUAAUGGCUAAAUUGUAGUGACAACUAUGUAUUGCUGCUAAUUUUAAUAAUUUUCUUAUAAUUCUUUCACAAAUCAUGCCUACAUAUGCUCAGAGGAUGCUUUAAGAGUUUGAGGGGUGUGUGCUUCUAAAUUCUGAGUUGGAGUCAGAUCAUAUAGAGGCUUCACAUUCUUUUUAUGUUUGUUUGCCUAAUUUAGUGUUAGUUUUUUUUGUUCAUUUAGUUUGGUUUGUAUUGGGGUAACUUUUUUCUGUUUUCCAUGUUGGCAACUCUGAUUCAUGGAGUUUGUUGUUGUAGAUCAUAGACAAUACAAUUCAAGCAAGGAUUA